rnacentral:rRNA from 1 species
UCGGGAAUUUUGGGCAAUGGGCGAAAGCCUGACCCAGCAACGCCGCGUGAAGGAUGAAGUAUUUCGGUAUGUAAACUUCGAAAGAAUAGGAAGAAUAAAUGACGGUACUAUUUAUAAGGUCCGGCUAACUACGUGCCAGCAGCCGCGGUAAUACGUAGGGACCAAGCGUUGUUCGGAUUUACUGGGCGUAAAGGGCGCGUAGGCGGCAAUUCAAGUCAUCUGUGAAAUCUCCGGGCUUAACUCGGAACGGUCAGAUGAUACUGCUUUGCUAGAGUGCAGAAGGGGCAAUCGGAAUUCUUGGUGUAGCGGUGAAAUGCGUAGAUAUCAAGAGGAACACCUGAGGUGAAGACGGGUUGCUGGGCUGACACUGACGUUGAGGCGCGAAAGCCAGGGGAGCAAACGGGAUUAGAUACCCACGUAGUCCCUGAGCGGGCUGGCAAGGCGCAU